rnacentral:rRNA from 1 species
GACGAACGCUGGCGGCGUGCCUAACACAUGCAAGUCGAACGGAACUGUUUUGAAAGAUUUCUUCGGAAUGAAUUUGAUUUAGUUUAGUGGCGGACGGGCGAGUAACGCGUGAGUAACCUGCCUUCAAGAGGGGGAUAACAUUCUGAAAAGAAUGCUAAUACCGCAUGACAUAUCGGAAUCACAUGAUUCUGAUAUCAAAGAUUUUAUCGCUUGAAGAUGGACUCGCGUCCGAUUAGUUAGUUGGUGAGGUAACGGCUCACCAAGACCGCGAUCGGUAGCCGGACUGAGAGGUUGAACGGCCACAUUGGGACUGAGACACGGCCCAGACUCCUACGGGAGGCAGCAGUGGGGGAUAUUGCGCAAUGGGGGCAACCCUGACGCAGCAACGCCGCGUGAAGGAUGAAGGUUUUCGGAUUGUAAACUUCUUUUAUUAAGGACGAAAAAUGACGGUACUUAAUGAAUAAGCUCCGGCUAA